rnacentral:rRNA from 1 species
CAGCCGCCGCGGUAAAACGAAGGGGGCUAGCGUUGCUCGGAAUCACUGGGCGUAAAGGGUGCGUAGGCGGGUCUUUAAGUCAGGGGUGAAAUCCUGGAGCUCAACUCCAGAACUGCCUUUGAUACUGAAGAUCUUGAGUUCGGGAGAGGUGAGUGGAACUGCGAGUGUAGAGGUGAAAUUCGUAGAUAUUCGCAAGAACACCAGUGGCGAAGGCGGCUCACUGGCCCGAUACUGACGCUGAGGCACGAAAGCGUGGGGAGCAAACAGGAUUAGAUACCCCCGUAGUCCCUGUCUCUUAUAC